ACUUUUUUAUUUUCUUUUUUCUGGCCUUCUCUACUACCGGUGCUUGUCGCCGAAGAUGCGGGCCUGUCUCCAGUGCUACUCUCAGUCGUCACUAGAGCUUCACUGCUAGGGAUCAUGAAAAUAAGCAUGAAAGGGUCGAAACCCUUGUAUUUUUGACUGUUGCUUUUUCUUACUUCUCUUUUUCCAUCGCUGAUUUCCC
rnacentral:lncRNA from 1 species